CCUACGGGAGGCAGCAGUGGGGAAUAUUGCGCAAUGGGCGAAAGCCUGACGCAGCGACGCCGCGUGAGGGAUGAAGGUCUUCGGAUCGUAAACCUCUGUCAGCAGGGAAGAACGGUCACUGUGCUAAUCAGCAGUGAAUUGACGGUACCUGCAAAGGAAGCACCGGCUAACUCCGUGCCAGCAGCCGCGGUAAUACGGAGGGUGCGAGCGUUAAUCGGAAUUACUGGGCGUAAAGCGCUCGUAGGCGGUAUGUCAAGUCAAGGGUGAAAUCCCCGCGCUCAACGUGGGAACUGCAUAUGAAACUGGCAAACGAGAGUGUGUGAGGGGAUAGUGGAAUUCCAGGUGUAGGAGUGAAAUGCGUAGAUAUCGGGAGGAACAUCAGUGGCGAAGGCGACUAUCUGGCAAAUAACUGACGCUGAGGAGCGAAAGCGUGGGUAGCAAAAAGGAUGAGAUACCCUAGUAGUC
rnacentral:rRNA from 1 species